rnacentral:lncRNA from 1 species
AUUCAAUCAAAGAACAACACCGUAAAACCAAAUAUUCAAGAAGCAAACAAAUUAAAAAUAACUUUUUAAUAAAAAAGGUGGCACAAGAACCAUACUUAAGACUAAGAAAUUUCAAUAAUUGUAAACCUCUCUAUAAUUUUCUAUGCUUGGUUAUACAGUACAUGGGUCAAGCUGUUUGUAUGUCCAAAAAUAUAUAUUCCAUUAACAUUGAGGACUUACAUGUAGUCCUUUCACAGAAAGAUAACUUCACAUCAAAGUAAGUUUACUUCAGUUCAAUUCUUCAUAUGUCCAAAUACCUAACACAAUAACAUUACCAAGCACUUCUUAAUGAUAAAGUUACAGUUGCUACAACAUAUUUACCCUCAAUGGUUUAUUGAGGCUGCUAUUCAUAUUCCCAUAUAAAAUCACAACAUCGAAAGAAACAAACUUCUAUAAAAUACACUGUUAAAUUCUACUGUGAUUAUGCACCAAACAUCACAGAAUGAGUCAACUCUGAAUCAAGGUACUCACGUAGUCACACAUCCAAUAAUCUGAAGAAUUUAUCCAGAUCCAUAUAAACAAAAAUCUCGAACCCAAAUAACUAUAGAAAUGGCUAGCAACCUAUGUCAUAUUAAAGCCAAGACAAUAACACGUAAAUAGGGGAAACUUACACAACAAUAGAGCUGUAAAAUUUCUUUCUUAGUACAAGUAAACAUGCAAGAUAUUAUAUCCAGAACAACAUACAAAGAACUAUACAACAACAAAGAGCCGUCAAGGCAACCACAGAAUUUCGCAACGACAAAGGGCCGGAGGCGAAGUAAAAAAAAUGACUAUACUAAUUAGACUUAGGCAGCUUACUAACUUCCCUCUAAAAAUAAUAGAACAGAGAGAGAGUCAUUAUCAACCAAUUAAGUAAUUUACUAAAAAUUGUUUUUCUGCAGAAAAUCAUUUCAAGAUUCUAUAGAAAGUUUAAAAAAAUAAUCAAACAAGAAAAGAAGAAAACUCAAAAAAUGAAUUCAGCGAUUUAUAAAAACAAAUCCAAAAUAUGCAUAUUAUUUCAAAAGCCAAGGUCAAAACUGAUUCUCCAAAACCCAAACAUAAAUCAAAUGUCUUUUUCUUCUGAUGUUUUUUUAACAAAAUAGCUAGGAUGUUGGAUGUCCUGAAGUAUAGUCAGUUACUAAUAGGAAUUGCAUAAUUGGAAGAAAAUAAGUUUGUCAUAGAUACAAAAACAAACUUAGAGACAAACUACCCAACUUAAUAGCUCAUGCGACAGGAAAGGCAAACUUAUUUAUUCUCAUCUUCCAAGUGCGGACAACAGAAAGGCACUAAUUAUUGAGCGUGUGAAGAUUUGGUGAUUUUCUAAUUUUAUUUGUUUUCUUUCUAGUAACAUUACCUAAUUUUUAACAAGAAAAUUUCAGCAUUAUACCGUUGUACUAUCAACACAACAUGUUCUAUGUUUUCUCUAACCAAAAUCAAAAUACAAGCAUGUUCUGACUUCUCACAAAACAACAAUUAAAAUAAAUCAUCAAAACUUGGCAAAGAGUAAACUGAUAUAAAGCUAAUAAAACCAUCAAAAAGCAGACAUCUUUAGGUAAAACUGACAUACACUUUACCAAAAAAAGCCAAUUUCUUCGACAACAACGAAACCCUACCCCCUACCCCCCCCCCCCCCCAUAUUUCCCUACAAAACACAAACUAAAAAUAAACACCUAACAUUUGGUAAAAAUAAACUGAUACACAAAGCUAAUAAGACCAUAGAAAGCUGUUUUUGCUGCUUAAAAAUAACCCCAAAAAAUAAGUAAUACAGCAAAGUUUAGCCCCCUCAUUUUCUUGAAUAAUAUUACAGUCAAAGCAAGAAAUUAAAUACAUUGCUCACACCCUAAGGAUUAAAGGAAAAAUAAUGAUUAAAUAAGAAAAUACCCAAAUUAGAAAAGAAAAAGUUACACCUGAAGUUUCUCACAUAGUGCCUUUUGGGUAAAAAAUUUCUCGCGAUUGAAGUAAUUUUCUCACCUUUAAUCAUGCCUUUUAGAUUUUUCGUUUGUUCUUCUUUGAUGCCUUCUCUUCUUUGAAUAACAGAAAAGGAUUGAGACUUUGGGAAUUUGGAGAUUUUGGGUUAGGCCAGCAAUUUGAUUUGGGGAUUUGGGGAGUUAGGGUUAGCCAUAGAUGAAAUUUUCAAGGUGAAAGGAAAGAGCAAUGAAAGGGGUAUUGAGAGCUUUGGAGGUGUCGAUGCCUUUGGGUUCUAUGGGUAGAUAAAUGGGUUUAUUGGGAGAUAACUUUAGAGUUGUCAAUACUGGAAUGUUUUUGUUAUUUAAUUUAUAUUAAUUAAUAAAAUAAAGAGGGGUUAUU